AGGUCGCCGGCCCGGCGCGCGGCCUGGAGCACCUCGAGGGUGCCCGUCGCGUUGGCGUGGUGCGAGGCCACGGGGUCCUU
rnacentral:tRNA from 1 species